rnacentral:rRNA from 1 species
GAUGAACGCUAGCGGCAGGCUUAAUACAUGCAAGUCGUGGGGCAGCAUGAGUAGCAAUACUUGAUGGCGACCGGCAAACGGGUGAGGAACACGUACACAACCUUCCUUCAAGCGGGGAAUAGCCCAGAGAAAUUUGGAUUAAUACCCCAUAAUAUAUUUGAUAAGGCAUCUUAUUAAUAUUAAAGCUUCGGCACUUGAUGAUGGGUGUGCGGCUGAUUAGAUAGUUGGCGGGUAACGGCCCACCAAGUCUACGAUCAGUAGCUGAUGUGAGAGCAUGAUCAGCCACACGGGCACUGAGACACGGGCCCGACUCCUACGGGAGGCAGCAGUAAGGAAUAUUGGACAAUGGACGAAGUCUGAUCCAGCCAUGCCGCGUGAAGGAUUAAGGUCCUCUGGAUUGUAAACUUCUUUAUAUGGGACGAAAAAAGGGCAUUCUUGUUCACUUGACGGUACCAUAUGAAUAAGCACCGGCUAACUCCGUGCCAGCA